rnacentral:rRNA from 1 species
UACAGAGGGGGCAAGCGUUGUUCGGAAUUACUGGGCGUAAAGGGCGCGUAGGCGGCCUUCUAAGUCGAACGUGAAAUCCCCGGGCUCAACCCGGGAACUGCGUCCGAUACUGGAAGGCUUGAAUCCGGGAGAGGGAUGCGGAAUUCCAGGUGUAGCGGUGAAAUGCGUAGAUAUCUGGAGGAACACCGGUGGCGAAGGCGGCUUUCUGGACAAAUACCGACGCUGAGGCACGAAAGCUAGGGGAGCAAACAGG